GACGAACGCUGGCGGCGUGCUUAACACAUGCAAGUCGAACGGUGAAAGCGGAGCUUGCUCCGCUGGAUCAGUGGCGAACGGGUGAGUAACACGUGGGCAACCUGCCCCUCACUUCGGGAUAACUCCGGGAAACCGGGGCUAAUACCGGAUAUGACCACCUUCGGCAUCCUUGGAGGUGGAAAGUUUUUCGGUGCGGGAUGGGCCCGCGGCCUAUCAGCUUGUUGGUGAGGUAGUGGCUCACCAAGGCGACGACGGUCGGUAGCCGGCCUGGGAGGGCGACCGGCCACACUGGGACUGAGACACGGCCCAGACUCCUACGGGAGGCAGCAGUGGGGAAUAUUGCGCAAUGGGCGAAAGCCUGACGCGGCAACGCCGCGUGCGGGAUGACGGCCUUCGGGUUGUAAACCGCUCUCAGCAGGGAAGAAGCCGCAAGGUGACGGUACCUGCAGAAGAAGCACCGGCUAACUACGUGCCAGCCGCCGCAGUAA
rnacentral:rRNA from 1 species